AUACGGAGGAUACGAGCGUUAUCCGGAUUUAUUGGGGUUAAAGGGUGCGCAGGCGGCCAUUUAAGUCAGCGGUUAAAUCGUGGGGCUCAACCCCAUUCUGCCGUUGAUACUGGGUGGCUUGAUUGCGGUCGAGGUUGGCGGAAUUCGUUGUGUAACGGUGGAAUGCAUAGAUAUGACGAAGAACACCGAUUGCGUAGGCAGCUGACCAGACCGCAAAUGACGCUCAUGCACGAAAGUGCGGGGAUCGAACAGGAUUAGAUACCCUGGUAGUCCGCACAGUAAACGAUGAAUACUUGUUUUCGGCGAUAUAAUGUCGGAGGCAAAGCGAAAGCGAUAAGUAUUCCACCUGGGGAGUACGCCGGCAACGGUGAAACUCAAAUGAAUUGACGGGG
rnacentral:rRNA from 1 species